rnacentral:rRNA from 1 species
GAUGAACGCUGGCGGCGUGCUUAACACAUGCAAGUCGAACGGUGAAGGCGGAGCUUGCUCUGCUGGAUCAGUGGCGAACGGGUGAGUAACACGUGAGCAAUCUGCCCCUGACUCUGGGAUAAGCGCUGGAAACGGCGUCUAAUACUGGAUACGAGCUGCGAAGGCAUCUUCAGCAGCUGGAAAGAACUUCGGUCAGGGAUGAGCUCGCGGCCUAUCAGCUUGUUGGUGGGGUAACGGCUCACCAAGGCGUCGACGGGUAGCCGGCCUGAGAGGGUGACCGGCCACACUAGGACUGAGACACGGCCCAGUCUGCUACGGGAGGCAACAGUGGGGAAUAUUGCACAAUGGGCGAGAGCCUGAUGCAACGACGCCGCGUGAGGGACGACGGCCUUCGGGUUGUAAACCGCUUUUAGCAGGGAAGAAGCGAAAGUGACGGUACCUUCAGAAAAAGCGCCGGCUAACUACGUG